UGGUAACUAUAAGUAGUGGUGCCGCAGGUAUGAUAUUGAUGGCUACCUGCUUCAUCACUAUUUACUGUUAAUC
rfam:Lottia gigantea unplaced genomic scaffold LOTGIsca_150, whole genome shotgun sequence.